CGAACGCAUCCAAGUUGUCGUAACAACAAUAUUAACGGUCAUUUGUCAACAAUCACGAUAACUUAAGAAAAUUAAACCACAAUGGCGGAUGAUGAGGGAAACGAGGAGGUUGCGGAGGAGCAUCAACCUGAGGUCUACGAUGACGACACCCUCAGCCCCGUGCCCGUGCAGCCCCUAGACCCGCCCAAGUAUGAAGUUAGACCCGGCCUUGGAGAGAAGUUCCAAGCUGAGAAUAUACACGAGAUUAUAGUGACGUCCAUGCAACAGCAAUUAACGGGGCGGCAGUACCGCGCCGACCAGGCGCCGCACUGGGCGCAGAUGAUCGCGAACGGCGUGCGGCACCGGACCCAGGAGCUAGGCAUGAAGAGGUACAAAAUCUUGGUCCAGACCGUGAUCCUCGAAAUGAAAGGCGCAGGCAUCAAGAUGGGCCAGCGCUGCCUCUGGGACCCCGAGACUGACGACUAUGUCCACGGCCUUUAUAAGGACGGCAGCAUACUGUGCCACUGCACCGUCUACGGCAUAUACAUGUACUGAGGCAAGCGGGACUACAGCAAGAUACAUUUGCAUUUGAGUAGGGAGGAUUUUAUUUAUUAAAAAAACCGACAAGUGCGAGUCGGACUCGUACCAUUACGCAAAAAACGGCAAAAAAAUUACGGUUUUUGUAUGGCCCCACUUAAAUAUUUGUUUUGUUUUGUUUUUAGUAUUUGUUGUUAUAGCGGCAGCAGAUAUAUAUCUGUGAAAAUUUCAACUGUCUAGCUAUCACGGUUCAUGAGUUAUAGUCUGGUGACACUGGAGACAGACAGACGGAUGGACGAACAGACGGACAGCGGAGUCUUAGUAAUAGUGUCCCGUUUUUACCCUUUGGGUACGGAACCCUAACAAUUGUUAUAAGAGCAUAGACGUAGACUCUGACCACAGUAUGUUUGCACAGACUUGGGUGGGUCAUUUUUUGUUAUUCUGUCCAAUGAGCCAGCUAGUCCGCUCGAACUGUGUCAUUGACCGCCGGCGUCAUCGGCGAGACAGCAAUAUAAAUUAUGCGCGUGAGAUAAAGACAGGAAAUGGCAGGUCAACGUAUGAAAUUAUUCGUGCUAACUUCCUAACUUUAUUAGUUAUAAUCAUGCAAAUGUAUCUGACUGGUGUCAAAUUGGUGUUGAAAAAGAACAUUUUGAAAAUGUCAAUCAAUGUGAUUGUGACUUUUAUACGUUUUUUAUCGCGUAGUGUGCUAUAGAAUAAUGUAUUAAGUGUAUACUUAGACACAUACUUGUUGUUGUAAAAUACAGGGUGACAUCGGAGAUGCGAUUCAAAAACUAAGAUCAAGAGAGUUUUUGAGAACAUAAAGUCUGUCUAGAGUGCGUCUAAGCUAACUUUGCACCGACAUGAAUAGAGCAAAGUGAAGGAGUGUCAUUAUAAACGUAAUAUUUUCAUAGAUAUUGACAUUUUUACACUUAAUCAUAGUAAAUUGCACGCAGAUUUAGCUUGGUCCGACUCUAAGCUUACUCUCACCGACUUUUUAGUGACAAAGUGUUGAACUGCCACUAUACAUUUUCACAGAACAUGUCCACACCGUUGCCUGGACUGGCUCUAAGCAUUGUGAAAUGUUAAUCCGGUUAGUUGACCCCUGUUCUCUAUUUUACCACGCUGACAUUGACAAUUCAACGUACAUUGCUGAUCCAAUAUCUAAAUAAUUACGCUAUGUACUGUCGUUACUUACCGACCCUGAAAUGUACAGGAAAUUGUCAGUGUCAGUGUCAGGUGCUAAUUUGCUGGCCCAAUAUUACGGGGUUCUAUGUUUCACUUUUAUCGAACUGAAAUUUGAACAUCGUCAUAGUGACAUUAAGUCGAAUUUCAACUAUCUUGAAAAUGUAACUUAGAACUUUGUAAUAUUUACCCAGCGAAUUGUCAAGUUGGUGAAAUAGGGUCUGAAUAUGUUUCUUAUCGCGUUUUCGAUGUCACCCUGUAUAUAAUUUAGUAUCACUUAUUCUGAUUCAUAAUAAAUUAGUUAUGACUAUGUACCUAUAAAUAGGUUGAAUGCAACAUACAACAUUAUUAGGUUAUGAACUAUUUAUUUCUAUUGACAUUAUGUACUUUUACUUAAUUUUUAAUGAUUAUUUAUUAUUUAACUUUAAUUGUUACUAUGAUAGUAUUGACAGUGUAGGUGUAUAGUAGGAUUAUGUUUUGAUUCAGCAAGUAGAUAUUACUACUUUUAAAACACGAAUAGAUUUCGGAUGACUAUCUAGAUAGCUAAUAUAGUAGUUUAUGAGUGCACGUGUGCGUGCGCUAAAAUGUUGGAGCCGUGUACGCACACGUCACGCAAGCGGUGUGCCGUGGUUUAUAAGGAUUUGUAUAUUACAACGCGCGCGUGCACUUCUAUGCAUACGCGUCCGGUGUGCACAGGCCUUGAUUAUAGAAGAGUUGCAUAAUCUAAUAAAAAUAACAUGGUGUUGUACGGAGCCAUGUGUUUGGUAACAUGGUUUACAGAUCUUUUGACAAUCAGAGUUACCGCAUAAUGUGCAAAUUAAGUGCGGUCGAGUUCAAAAAUAUCUUUACAAGGUACGCUCCAAAAUAUAUUUACACGACCUUUGUCAGUGUCUUAAAGGCGUGUAAACUUUAAAUAGAAAUACCCAUCAGAAGGAAUAACAUUACUUUUAUGUAAUGACAUUACUAUUGACAUUGUAGUGAUUGGAAUGAAAUGAAACAUGGAAAUUGGAAUGGAACAUAGGAAUGACAACAUUAUUAAUGUAAGGGUUAUUGAUAAUUUUGUCCAAAUAUGAGUAAUGUCAAAUUACCAGUGAGUUUUCAACCAACAAAACUAAACCAGUGUGUUACAAUCUAAUAAUCCAUGAAAUGUUAAAACAAUAAACUUUUAGCCUUGAUUUAGAAUUUAGAGUAUUCAGAAAUCGGCUAGGUACCAUUUAGCAUUUCCUAAAGUGCACUUCUAUGUUUAGGAGUUUUAAAGUUUGUAGUUUGCUGAAUUAGGUAAA